AUUGAACGCUGGCGGCAGGCCUAACACAUGCAAGUCGAGCGGAUGAGAGGAGCUUGCUUCUCGAUUCAGCGGCGGACGGGUGAGUAAUGCCUAGGAAUCUGCCUGGUAGUGGGGGACAACGUUUCGAAAGGAACGCUAAUACCGCAUACGUCCUACGGGAGAAAGCAGGGGACCUUCGGGCCUUGCGCUAUCAGAUGAGCCUAGGUCGGAUUAGCUUGUUGGUGAGGUAAUGGCUCACCAAGGCGACGAUCCGUAACUGGUCUGAGAGGAUGAUCAGUCACACGGGAACUGAGACACGGUCCAGACUCCUACGGGAGGCAGCAGUGGGGAAUAUUGGACAAUGGGCGAAAGCCUGAUCCAGCCAUGCCGCGUGUGUGAAGAAGGUCUUCGGAUUGUAAAGCACUUUAAGUUGGGAGGAAGGGUUGUAGAUUAAUACUCUGCAAUUUUGACGUUACCGACAGAAUAAGCACCGGCUAACUCUGUGCCAGCCGCCGCCGUAAUAC
rnacentral:rRNA from 1 species